UACGUAGGACGCAAGCGUUAUCCGGAAUUACUGGGCGUAAAGCGCGUGUAGGCGGGUCUGUAAGUCUGUCGUGAAAGCUCCCGGCUAAACUGGGAGAGGUCGAUGGAAACUACAGGUCUGGAGUUUGGCAGAGGAAUGUGGAAUUCCGCGUGUAGUGGUGAAAUGCGUAGAGAUGCGGAGGAACACCAGUGGCGAAGGCGGCAUUCUGGGCCACAACUGACGCUGAGACGCGAAAGCAUGGGUAGCGAACGGG
rnacentral:rRNA from 1 species